UCACCAUGGAUUGGGCUGCCGCUGUCUGGGAUAGUGAUAACUAGGAACACGCAUCUUACUCCUACUUCUAUUUCUCCCAACUGAUAUGAGAAAUCCUCGAGGGGGGAAUGAACGUGUCUGAUCAGUUGUGACUCUGUCAUGCUCAGACUCUGUGGCUAAGUAUGCUGUCAUGUUUCGUAUGCUAGUGGCACAAAGCGUGUAAAAUGUUACAGCACUGAGGGCAGGCUUUCGGGAGGGGCUCAACUCGGCAUUACAGUCUAGAUUCCUUCGACAUGUGCCAGUGCAUCAAGGCCUAUGCAGUUAAGAAAGAACCAGUUUUCGCCCGAGGAAUGCCAGCAAUGCUUAAGACUAUAGCUAUGUUUUUACUGCACUUAAGCCAGUCACCUUUGGGCCAUCUGUUUUGAGAAACCUGGAGUAAGAAACUGCUAGGGUGAGCCUGAACCUCUGUACCUACAGCCUACUAUUAUCUGCACAGUUGCAAGGUCCUAAUGGAUUUACACUCUCUCAGCCCUCAUGGACUUGGAUUCUGCUGUCAACCUACCACAGCACCAGCUGGAUGACCAAGCUGAAAAACGUGAAUUUCAUAAGCACUCUUUUUUAUUUUUAGGAUGCAUCAUCACCCAGCAAGGGGUGAAAAUGUACAGAAGCAAGGUCCUAGCUGUAAUGAAAUGGCCCAUACCUGCAAGCAUCAAAGAACUGCAAAGAUUCCUGGGUUUUGUGAAUUUUUACAGAUGCUUUAUCUGUAAGUGUCUUCGAGGAGUUGAGGCAGAAGUUCACCACAGCCACCAUUUUGCAACACCCUAGACCCCAACUUUCCUAUUGUCAUGGAAGUAGACGCUUUCAACUGUGGCAUAGUCGGCAUGCUCUCACAAAGGCAUGGUGCUUCAGGCGUUUUUCACCUGUGCCUACUUCUUGAGAAAAUUUUCACUGUAAAUCUAGACCACAGGGGAAAGCAAUUACAAUGUGAGGAAAUGUGAACUCUUAUCUAUGAAAGGCAUUAGAAUAUUGGAGGCAUUGUUGGUGGGGGCCAAACACCCAUUCCAGUUCUACAAAAACAUGGGAUACAUUCAAAACAGCAACAGACUCCACCCCUGUCAAGCCUGGCACACCCUUUUCUUUACCCAACUGUUUACCUUGACUUGCUGCCCUGGCACCAAGAACCGUAAAGCAGAUACACUUUUCUGCCACCUGCCACCCUCUAUCACCAUUGUGCUCAUCCAGUGGGAUAUAAUAGAGGAAAUCCAACAUGGCCAGGCCAAUGUACCCAUGACCAGGGAGUGCCUGCCUACUAAACUGUAUGUCCCCCAGGGUCAUCCAGUCGGUGCAGACAGCACCAAACUCGGGGCAUCCCGUGACUCACGGCACCACCAAGCUGGUCCAAAACUCGGACCCCAUUCACUACACAUAUCAGAGACUAUGUCAAAGCGUGUGCCAUCAUGUGACCAAGUCAGAGAGUCCCGCCAGCUACCCUAUGUUCUGUUUGAACCCCUUAACAUGCCUGCUGUACCUGGUCUCAAAUUGCGAAAGGUAAUGGUAGACAAAUGGUUCACCCAAUGCUGAGAAACGUGAGAAAGUGCCCACGUACACCUCCAGUCAGCAUUCCAACGGAGGGAACUGCAAUGAGGACCCUGAACCACACCCCAUGCCACCACUGGAGGUCAACGAGGCUCUAGCAUAGGAGCUCUCACAUUAUUCUGGAUUCCAGAGUUGACAUGCUGGGUGAAGCCUGAUGACAUCUUAGACUAUCUCACAGAGGAAUUUCACAGAACCCACCCUGAUUGAUAUGCACCCAGACCCUGGGGAGACCGUAAAGUUUAGGAACACCGGGAGGUGUUCCUAGGAAGGCCUGUGACCUGGGCAAGAAGCCACUCCAGCCUCAGCCAUCCCAGCCUCAGCAAUCAUAUGUGAUCUUGUGAGCUGGAGGAUGAGGUAUGUCAUGGUAUGAAGACUACAAAUUGAGACGCCAGUUUCACACCUUUGAUCUGACAGGAACCAGUGUGUGGUGUCUUCCUGUCCCAGAGUGCCAGUCACUAGGCAACUUCUGUACACUGGGAACUGCUGCUAUUGGUGUUCCUGAACUGUGUGAACAGCAAUGACAAAGAAAGAGAGAGAGAAAGAGAUCCUUGAAGUUUUGGGCCUUUCAUAUAUAGAAUGGAUUAAUGAGUGGAUUGUCGAAUUGUGCUCCUAAAGAAUGUCUCUUGCUUUUUAGUUAACUGGUAAAUUUAUUGUUACCUACCACAUACAAACAUAAUACAAAUUAUUAUAGAAGUAAAGCAAGUCCAUAGCACUAUUUCACAACCACUGCUAAUACCUUAUCCAUUUGUAUAUUAUAUUAUAAACUAAUAUGACCUCCACUUCAUGGCUGUAUAGCUUAGCCCUAAUUUGUAAAAGAGCACCUGUCCUGAUUGAGCCACUGAUUGUCAGUCACUAUUCUGUGCUCUGGUUGCUUGUCUCUUCUUAUUUCCUUCGUAUUCCACUAUGAUCCUUAAGUAUCUUAGAUUAAAUUGCCUGGCACUGAGCUUGGUUUCAGGGGUGACUGGUUUGGAUUGCUGAAUUUUUUAUUUAUUUAUUUUGCCAUGGAGUUUAUGAAAAUCAUACUAAACAUUAACAGAUUGCAAGUUGCUGUGCCUGGUGUAGUCAGUUUUAAAUGCCAAUUUCUAGUAAACAAAUGGGAUAUCUGUCCUUAUCAUUCAAUUUGCAAAUUGUCCUUUUAUGGAAGAUUUAUUUUGAUAGCAUAGUAAUUUAAAUGUAUGUGAAUGAAAAUAAGAUAUGCCAAACCAUA